CCUUGAGAGUCCUGAAGGAACGUUGAAGACGACGACGUUGAUAGGCUGGGUGUGUAAGCGCAGCGAUGCGUUGAGCUAACCGGUACUAAUGAACCGUGAGGCUUAACCUUACAACGCCGAAGGUGUUU
rnacentral:rRNA from 1 species